GUCCUGGCCCUAAACGAUGGGUACUAGGUUGAAGGCUUACAUGGGCUUUCAGCCGGAGCAAAAGUGUUAAGUACCCCGCCUGGGGAGUAUGGUCGCAAGGCUGAAACUCAAAGGAAUUGACGGGGGCUCACACAAGCGGUGGAGCAUGUGGCUUAAUUCGAGGCUACGCGAAGAACCUUAUCCCAGACUUGACAUGUUCGAAAGAGGUAGGAAGUAGGGAGCGGAAACGUUUCCCCAACGGUAUCCAGUCAGGAACCUACUACAGGUGCUGCAUGGCUGUCGU
rnacentral:rRNA from 1 species